CUCCUACGGAGGCAGCAUGGGGAAUAUUGGGACUAAUGGGACGGCGAAGCCUGAUCCAGCAAUGCCGCGUGUGUGAAGAAGGCCUUCGGGGUUGUUAAAGGUCAACUUUUAUCUAGGAGCGAAAUACUACCGGUUAAUAACCGGUGGGGCUGACGGUACUGAGGAAUAAGCACCGGCUAACUUCGUGCCAGCCGCCGCGGUAAUUC
rnacentral:rRNA from 1 species